AUCUUGGUGACCUGACAUUACUUUGUAGAGAUUGCAAACAUAAAUUUUAAGAGGAAUUCUAGGAGGAAUGUUAUGUAUUAUGAUUCCUUGAAGUAAUUUCUGAGACUGUGUGAGGUAUUUUGUGCUAAUAACUGUAGUCACACCCAGCCUCUGCCAACACUUAGCAUCUUAGUUAAUUUCUUUUAUAGGAGGCAAGAUUCCCAAAAGCUCUGGAUGGUUCCUCAACUCCUCUUUGAAGAAAUGGUGCAUUUAGCAAGACCUUUCCAUCAGCAUUAUUGCCACUACUGCCCUCCCUAAGAAUUUGAACCUUGAGAAAAUUACAAAAAAUUAAAAUCUGGACAUGGAGGAGGCACAGGGAAGCUAAGUGUUUUGGAGAAAGAGUGGAGGUUCUUAAUGGCAGAGCUUGGGUGAGGAAGAGUGCUUCUGGGCUCCUGGUACUUUUUCCACAAUAUCUGCUUCUGCUGAUAGAAUCCCAUCUGUUAUAUGCUGAGGCGAAGAGGUGUGAGAAAAAUAACUAGAGGAGAUAUCAAUCACUCAGCAAAAUAUUUAUGAAGGACUUCAUUCAGAUAUUAGGGGAGUCACCAUUGUCACCAGCCCUGACAAAACAGAGGAGAUGAUGAAUUGUGCCAAGGACAACAUUAGCUCAGAAGGUAGAGACUGACAAUGAUAUGCUUGUGUUACCGUGUCUUAUCCUCUAGUGGGAGAGAAUAGUGUGAAAGAGGAAAAAAGGGACAAUUUAUAGGAAGAGAAAAUAAGAUAUACCUUGUUACUAAGGAAGAAGCAUGUGAAAAUCUCUAAAACAUGAUUCUGGGAUCUGCCAGCCUGCAAGUCACUGAGCAAUAUGUAAAUGAGCUUGCCCUAAUAGAGUAAAUAAUUU
rnacentral:lncRNA from 1 species